UACAUAUUCCCCUGAUGCCCCUUGUUCUCACACAUUUGAUCUUGAAACCAGUGAUGUGCUGGGAGAAAAGAAUUCCUGUUUGAACAGCUACUCAGGCCAAGCACUGGGAGAGACUGAUCUGCCUCACUGGCACCUCCUGACAUUAGAUGAGGCCGAAGGCUUUUCCUCCACCAACUCAUCCUGCAGCUGUGCCUCCCACAGAAACACUUAUCCUACUCUGCGGACACCACCAGGAUUGUGAGACAACUAUCCAAGGAAUGGGAGAACAUUUGUCCAUCCAUCAUACACCUGUCUGUCUUGACAUUAGCAAAUCGAAGGGGGAGGACUUUUUUUGGCACCUGAUGAUUGAUGUGGCUGUGCACAUGCGGCUGGAAGUCUUGUACCUAUAUCUGUUCACUUCAGAAGCAUAAUGGCCCCUAUGUAAGUUAACUGGUGAAUUACUUAAGGGACAUUUACAUCAUAUCUAAACAAGUAAUUUUAAUGAUUGUGGU